rnacentral:rRNA from 1 species
CAGUCGCCGCGGUAAUACGUAGGUGACAAGCGUUGUCCGGAAUUAUUGGGCGUAAAGGGCUCGCAGGCGGUUUCUUAAGUCUGAUGUGAAAGCCCCCGGCUCAACCGGGGAGGGUCAUUGGAAACUGGGAAACUUGAGUGCAGAAGAGGAGAGUGGAAUUCCACGUGUAGCGGUGAAAUGCGUAGAGAUGUGGAGGAACACCAGUGGCGAAGGCGACUCUCUGGUCUGUAACUGACGCUGAGGAGCGAAAGCGUGGGGAGCGAACAGGAUUAGAUACCCGAGUAGUCCCUGUCUCUUAUAC